GGGUGUAUGUAUGUGCACAUGUACAUGUGUGUACAUGUAGAUGUGAGUACUUGCAGGGACCAGAGGAAGGCAUCAGAU
rnacentral:miRNA from 1 species